rnacentral:lncRNA from 10 species
CUGAGAAGUGAGGAGCCCCUCCGCCCGGCAGCCGCACCCUCUGAGAAAGCUGCAGAAAGCCUACUUCAAAAGGAAGUUCUGGCCAGGCGCGGUGGCUCACGUGUGUAAUCCCAGCACUUUGGGAGGCCGAGGUGGGUGGAUCACCUGAGAUUGGGAGAUUGAGAAUAGCCUGACCAACAUGGAGAAACCCCGUCUCUACUAAAAAUACAAAAGUAGCUGGGCGUGGUGGCGCAUGCCUCUAACCCCAGCUACUUGGGAGGCUGAGGCAGGAGAAUCGCUUGAACCCGAGAGGCGGAGGUUUCUGUGAGGCAAGAUCUUGCCAUUGCACUGCAGCCUGGGUGACAUGCGUGAAACUCCGUCUCAAAAAAAAAAAAAAAUUAAGUUGUAACAGCUGGCUAAGCGAAGCUGGUGAAAGUGGAGGUGUUCUGAUGGGAGCUGGAGCUGAGAGCCCUGGGGGCCUUCCAAGGAAGCCUGGGCUCUGAGAAGUAAUGUGAAAGUCACUAGGCCAAUCAAUCCUUUUGUUUAACAGAGCCCCUAACUGAAGCCCAGAGAGAAAUAACUCACCAAACAGCAGACAGAGUCUCAAAGGACCAGGACUCCAGCAGAGCUAGGGCCUGUGACUCCUAGUUUGAACUCCGUAUUAGUUAAGCGAAUCUGGCCCUGAAAGUAAUCCUGAACUCUGAACUGCAACCAUCUACUUGAGAGUCCAUGUGCUCUCCUAACUAUAAUUUAGGAUUGGUUUCAGCUAAAAGUGGUAUUAAAUGGCAGGCAGUAUUAGGACAUACGUAACCACUGACGGCUUCUCUUCUGAAGACCAGUGACUCCUCAGCCCAGUACCCCAGGCCGCCCACACCCUGCGAUCCUGGUGCUUCUGCUGGCAUUGAGUGCCCUGCAGCUGAAACCCAGCCUGAUGCAGUCCGCAGUUCAUGCAAACAAUGUAACCAGCUGUCAACUGACCUCCAGAAUAUGGGGCCUUCCCAUGAGGCAGGAGUCUGUGGACUGGGAUGGAACAGCUCGCCAAGCCCUUCAGCGGAGCCAGGAAAGAGAGGGCCACCUCCCAACUUCCCUGAGUGCCCUCCCCAUGCCAAGGCGCCAAGCUGAGGCAGAGGCUCGGGACCACUGAACCUUAUGAGCUCAAGACCAUGCCAGCCACCCCCCCAAGGCACACAGGUGAGAUGAGAACAGCAUCUUCUCACGCCGCCUGCUUUUCUGAGGGAUCUUCUGGCAUGAGCCACAGAAAUGACUUGAAGACUUAUAUGGAAGAUGGGACAAGAUGGGACGACAUGUGUUUCCCUCCUAGAACCGCUUUCUGGACUGGGAGUGUCCACACUCCAGCUUCUGCAACUGCCUGGCACCUGUGCAUCUGAGACCUCCCACCCAGAUCGUGCACUGGAGCUCUACACCACAUUUCCAAUUGCCUCCAAGAUGUCAGCCCCUAAAUGUCCUCAUAGACUCAUAAAUUCCAAACUCCAGUGAUGCCGACGCUCCUCCUUCCUAGCUCUCUUGCCCCUCAUGUCAGAAGCCUGGGACAGUGCUGGGCACCCCUCUGUGUCUCCACCCCAACAGCCCAACAGUCACCAGGUGCUAGAAAAGACUGCCUUUUAAAAGCCCUCUCCUGUCCGCCCCUGCCUACCAGCCCCCUUGCCAUGGCCAUAAGUCAGCCCCCAACCCUACCCCCACCAAUCCUCUCUUGACUGGUGCAGCAGCCCCCGGAGGCUUCCUCAGCCAGGCUGAGCACGAGGUUUCUUUGGGCAGACAGACUCUCUCAUCCGUACUUGAUUGGAAUUCCUGUGGGUGGGGCCCGGCAAGAGAAAAGCUUUGAAAAUCAACCCCCACAUGGGUUUUGAGGAAGAGCCAGGCCUGGGCAACCAGCAUUCUGGCCAAUUUCCUGCUCAGGCCUCACCCUCUUUUCAAUCCACCCUCUGCCUGUGGCCACCCAAAACCACUAGCACUUUCUGGAACAUGGCAGGCCUUCUUUGGCUUUCUGCUGUGUACUUCUGUUCCUUCCACCCUAGCCCCACCCAUCCUCUCCCCAUCCAAGAGCAAACAGCUCUGAACAGUCUGGAGUAGCUGGAGACACUCCUCAUCUUGGCACUCUCCUUGCCACUUGCCAUCUAGCAGAGCUGGAUGCUUCCCUUGAGCGCUCUCUGCUCCUCCCCCAGGUAUCUAGGCUGCCUCCCAUCUCCCCCACUGGCAUUUGAACUUUAAGAGCCUGGUCUUUGUGCUUGGAAUCCAAUGCAAAGGCUUCCCAUAACUAGCACUCCAUAAACAACUUUUGAACAAAAAUUCAAAUUCCCAGUGGUUCAGUUGCACCAAUUAAAGACUAAGUAUUUCAGUCUUUUCAUCCCUUUUUUUCUCUUUGAACUACCCAUACAUAAUACAAUGGAUACAUUUAAUUUUCCAGAGUUGUUAAUGGUAUAUAGAAGUCUAAAAACUAUUUAGAAUUAGCCAAAUUAAAAAAAAAAUCGUUACGCUGAACUUUGACCUCAUUUUAGACAGGGGCCCUGGACUGCUAGUCAAGACACUUCUUUUGACCUUGCACAUCUGAGUUUCAGCAGAACUUUGAAGAUAUUUGUGAGUUCCUCUUGCACAAGUGAAAGAAACAGAUGGUGGAAUGACUGUAGUGAACCUGUCACUACACAGUCAUAACCUGAGUUCUAAUUAAUGAGCAAGAGCAACCUUUAGGAAAAAAAAAAAAAAAAGGUCUCCAGAGGCAUGCCACAGAGCUCUACCGCCUCCCCUUUCAUUCAACACUUUCACCAGUAUCGUAGAUGAAAAAACAAAACACAUGUAUCAAACAAGCAGAUGAAAUGAUUGAUUAGCUAAAGAUGAUCAAGAUUCAAAAGGUUUUUACAAGCUACAGAAACGCUGGGCACUAAACAAAACAGAAAAUUUUAUAGGGAUAAAUGUAAAGUCUGUAUUUAGGUAAAAAAAAUCAACUGUAUUAUAAUAGCAUCAGUAUUUGAGUAAUCUUUAUUAAGCAUUAUGUGUCAGGUGCUGUGCUAAGGAUUUUACACGCCAUUAAUCCUCAUAGUGACCUCCUCAGCUGGUAAGCAUGAUUCAGUCCAUUAUACUGGUGUGGAAACUCAGGUUAAGUAACUUGCCUGGUGUCACCCAGUUAGUAAGGGGCAGGACCAGGACUUGAUUUGACCCACCAGGGGCAGAGCAUGUACCAGCUCUGCUUAAAGCACUAACAUAAUGCCAGGAUACACUGAGGGAUGCUCACAAGAAGUUGCACCGUACUCAUGGCUGAGCAGAUCAAGGCUAGAGAAUAGUGCCACUAAAAUGGGCAUCAAGGUGUGAAAAUUCACCCAGAGGAAGGUGGCCUGGAUGCUGAGGGUCUGGAAUGAUGCUGUCAGAGAAAUGGUUGGUGGCACUGUCACUCUCCUCAAGCCGUCUGUCCUACCCACCCUUCCUGCUCAGCAGCUGUCAAGCUCUCUGGGCUUUCUUCCUUCUCUGUCAGUAUCUCUGUGCCUUCAACUCCUGCCACUGUGGCCUCAGGCCCUCACUCCUUUCUGAGGUUAACCCAUGCCUGGUGCCUUUCUUAUGUCUUCAAACUGCAGUCCUCUGCUGGUUUCCUCCCUUUCACGGGUCAUGUCAGACUUUCCCUUUCCCCUUCACAGUUCUACCCAAACAGAAACGACGCCAGGGACCAAAACUAGCGGCCAAACCUAACAACCCAUCCCCAGCCUUCAUCCUUGUUGACUUCUCUGCAGCUACUAGAAAGAAAGACCGUCCAAUCUUUAGGCAGUGAUAUGUGUGGUCUUUUUUCUUUGUUUGCAUAUUUUAUGUUUUUUUUUUUUUUUUUUUUUUUUUGAGACAGGGUCUCGCUCUGUCGCCCAGGCUGGAGUGCAGCGGCGCGAUCUCGGCUCACUGCAAGCUUCGCCUCCCGGGUUCACG